rnacentral:rRNA from 1 species
AGAGUUUGAUCCUGGCUCAGAGCGAACGUUAGCGGCGGGCUUAACACAUGCAAGUCGAGCGAGAAAGUGGCUUCGGCCAUCAGUAAAGCGGCGGACGGGUGAGUAACACGUAGGUAAUCUUCCCUUGAGCGGGGGACAACGUUUCGAAAGGAACGCUAAUACCGCAUACGUUUCCAGGGACUCUGGUCCCUGGAAGGAAA